UUCUGCUCUAACUUGACAAGUCGG
rnacentral:piRNA from 1 species